AUGAACGCUGGCGGCGUGCCUAAUACAUGCAAGUCGAGCGAACAGACGAGGAGCUUGCUCCUCUGACGUUAGCGGCGGACGGGUGAGUAACACGUGGAUAACCUUCCUAUAAGACUGGGAUAACUUCGGGAAACCGGAGCUAAUACCGGAUAAUAUAUUGAACCGCAUGGUUCAAUAGUGAAAGACGGUUUUGCUGUCACUUAUAGAUGGAUCCGCGCCGCAUUAGCUAGUUGGUAAGGUAACGGCUUACCAAGGCAACGAUGCGUAGCCGACCUGAGAGGGUGAUCGGCCACACUGGAACUGAGACACGGUCCAGACUCCUACGGGAGGCAGCAGUAGGGAAUCUUCCGCAAUGGGCGAAAGCUUGACGGAGCAACGCCGCGUGAGUGAUGAAGGUCUUCGGAUCGUAAAACUCUGUUAUUAGGGAAGAACAAAUGUGUAAGUAACUAUGCACGUCUUGACGGUACCUAAUCAGAAAGCCACGGCUAACUACGUG
rnacentral:rRNA from 1 species